rnacentral:misc_RNA from 1 species
UACCCACCGUCUUUGUGUUGGGUGUUACUGUACUAUCUCCUCUCCCUUUCUCUCUCUCUGUGGUAAAACAGUACCGAAGAUUGUUUAUUGCUUUAAUUAUUUUUGUGUACCAUACCAUACCAUCCCAUACUACCCCAUUUUCCAUAGAGAAAAAACUCUCAUCACCACCUCCGUCACCCACAUGUCUUCAUUGCCGUGUACUUGCUGACGGGGCAGCUGAUCUGCUUCUGCUAUGCCGGAUUUUAAUUUAAUUAGUUCCCGGGCA